AGAAAAGUAAUGUGGAGUUCAUGCCUGCUUCAGUCAGCUUAAUCAGUGGCUGAAUAAAUAGCAGUACUCCUACAUUA
rnacentral:snoRNA from 1 species